ACAAAAUUACCUAAAACCUCAACCCCAUGGCCCCACGCAGUUUGUCACGGAGGCGAAAAAAAUUGGACUUCUACAGGAGACUGUUUGUGGGGUUACACGUUUCAUGCUUCUCAACCCACCGCUGUUGCCCCUUUCUUAGCCUCUGUAGACCCACUCAAAUCUCCCUUGCUUGCUUCAGUUGCAGCCCACCUCGGAUCGCCGCUCCAUCGUCAUCAUCCCCUAUCUAUUACUCUAUUGUGGCCCCCCAUUUUGGCUCAUCUACCUCGCCAGUGCUAUGUAGUUUGCUUUGCAUUUAGGUUCUCUACUUUCACGGCAUUUUCUGAUUAAUUGCUCUAUUGUGGCCCUCCUUAUUGCUCUAUUGUGGCGCGUCUCCUCUCUAGUGCUCUGGUAUUGCCUUUGCAUUCAAGUUUUCUACCUUCACAGCAUUCUCGAUUUAAUGAGAAACAAUUAAGACAAUGAGAGCAACUCUCAAGCUUGACUGUUGAGGGGAACAUGGUACUAGUUGGGGGAGGGGGGGUGUAGAAUGGUAUUUUCCUUUGACUUUAAUUAUAAAAUAUUGAAUUUUUGGUUGGUGUGUGUUUAUUAAGGGAAUCAAAUUAAAAAUGUAAAAUUCAAGAACUAAUAGUAAUUUACACUUAAAUCUAAGGUACAUAAACACCAGUUCUUUGGAGAUGUAGAAGUCCGAUUUAGCAAAGAUAUUGCUCACUCCGAGCAUGGAUAAAUUGAUUUUGCAAACAACUUGACCGAAGACGACUAGGCAAACAUUGCAAAAACAAAUAUUUCAAUUUCCAUUAAAAUUGAAAGGGCUUAAAAAUUUCUUCCUCAAAUUUAAUUUAUUUAGGCAUUGUUUUAAGAAGGCCAAGUAACUUAUCCACAAUAGCUUUGGG
rnacentral:misc_RNA from 1 species